GUAAAAUUAAAAUGGGAAUAGUUAAACAUCAACGGGAAGUAGUAGAUUUUUUGACAUCCGCAACAAAAUUAGCGUGAUGACAAGUUGAAGAUCUUUUUACUGGUUGCAGAGGAAACAAACUGGAACGCCAACACCGUACUCAUUUUCCCCAGUAACUCUGAAGAAGUAGAUUCCUCCUUCCUCCAGGUCAGACACCUUAUAGGACAG